UGCCAGCCGCCGCGGUAAUACGGAGGGUGCGAGCGUUAAUCGGAAUUACUGGGCUUAAAGAGUUCGUAGGUGGUUGAAAAAGUUAGUGGUGAAAUCCCAGAGCUUAACUCUGGAACUGCCUCCAAAACUGCCAGUCUAGAGUUCGAGAGAGGUGAGUGGAACUCCAAGUGUAGAGGUGAAAUUCGUAGAUAUUUGGAAGAACACCAGUGGCGAAGGCGGCUCACUGGCUCGAUACUGACGCUGAGGUGCGAAAGUGUGGGGAGCAAACAGGAUUAGAUA
rnacentral:rRNA from 1 species